CCCUGUGCUUUGGCGCGGCGUAGAUGUCGGACGCUAAUCGGUUCCGCAGAAUCAAUUACAUUAAACCGAAGAAAACCACAUCUGAAAUAACUAGAAUGUGCCGUAAUGGUUGUUAAAGGCAGAUUUUCUACCUGCUAACUCCGGGCCCGAUAAUGGGCGAUGGACCGCACAGAGGUGAACUUCACGGAAACCGGGGCAGGCCUCUUCCUCUUAAUGAGCGCCGUGGCAGCGAUUAUCUCCCACAGUUCUGCAGAAUAAAUUAAGCACAGCGGAACCCCUCUCUGCAAGCCUGCCAGCCACAGACGCACGUGUAGAGCGACUGAUAAGCAUCGGCAAACCCAACGCUCCCAUCCACCGGGCCCGUAGAGAUGCUGGAUCCGCGUCUGCCGCUAGAAGGCAAACAGGGUAACGUGCGGAGCUGGAAACUCAUCGACACUCAUCCUGCAGGUCCUUGUACCCUGGAGAUCAGGCUCUGGAGCUGGGGAGAUUUGUCGUCGCCAGGGCAACAGCUGGAGCACGUCUCUCUGUGAAACAGACCCGCCAGACACUCUGGCCAAUGGCUGACAUCUGAACGAUGGCAUGGAGCUGCCAAGCAAGCACGUAUCCUGGAUUUCAUCCUGCUAUAGCCCAAGACGCUGAGCUUUUGAGGGUGUGGAGCACAAACCUCAACUGAACAAGCCUAUAUGGACACUCAGAAACCAAAAACACUAGUCUCACUGAAUAUUCUCCUGCUUAUUGUACAUUCUUGGCGUUCCUACUGUACACGAGAACACGGACGAAAAGGCGGGAAAGGGAGGGGAGAGACUUGCAGCUCAUCACCCUGCCAAAUGGGCCUGUGCCAGCCCCCGUCUGUAGCUGAGGCCGUGUCACUCCGGAGCGACGGCGUGGGCGGCCGCUAACGGGCUAACAGGCUAAAUGCACAGCGCGUUCGCUUAUCUGCUCUGAGCCAGCGGUCGACAGCCCGGGUCCUCCAGGGCCGGAGGGUCCGCCGGUUCCCGUUUCCACCGUAGAAACGGCAACCGCUUCAGACCCAACGAACCGGGUGAGGCGAGUCGACCCCGUAAUCGACUGCUUUAAUCGAUCACCUGUGCUGAGUAAUAACAGAAACCUGCAGACCUCCGCAGCUCUCCAGGCCCCGGGGGUUGUUGACCCUCGCUCCAGACAAUCCCUCAGACUCGUUGCCAUGGCAACGUCCGUCCAAUCACCCGGGAGCGUGCCUAAGAUGGUGUUAAGCCAGGAAAGCUCUACCUUCCUUCCUUCCUGCCUUCCUUUCUCCCUGUAGCCGUUAGAACCGAAGACGGGGCAGUUAGGUCGACUGCAGGCGAGCGUGCGCUAUUUUUUCCCGAAGCGCGUGAUGUCACCCGCCACCUCUUAUCAUGCUGUAGUCCGUAAGUUGUGCUCACGCAGGCAUGAGUCAAAGGAAGACCUUUCACGUACAGCUGAACGGAUGGGCUGCAAGCGCCGUCAUCCUCCCUGAAUGAAACCUACUUUCUCAACCACCAACUGUGCAUCGCUCUUUGGGGCUGCUGUCCACGAUUGGCCUUGGCACAGUCUGGCUUUGAAACAGGACUGUGAGACCCACCCAUGCAGUAUGACAGCACCUUUACAGUAUGAGCCACUCAGCCAUUUUGGCUGAGUGGCUCAUACUGGUGGAAGCCAUUUUAAGGUAAAUUUGUCAUGGAUACCAGUUUUUUUACACAAAGCUGGAUGGCUGUCAAUUAUUUAUUAGUAUGCUCUUUUGUUCUUCAUUACCCCGCACAAGCACGAUGCUACCUGUGAUGCAUAUGGAGAAAUGGAGAGGAGAUGAAACUGCUCCUAUAUCAUUGCUCCACUGUCUAUAAUUUUGUCUUAAAAACACAACAUGAGGUUUUUGAGUCAUAAAAAUCCCAACACUAAGUCUUAUGUUGCAGCUUGUGUCCUGAUCAAACUCACAGAGAGAUGUCGGCCAUCUGGUCAAUAAGAACUGCCCAGUGAAGGAACAUUUGUACAGUACAUUUAUGGAAUUCAGUAUGGCAGUUCAUGUGCUCCCUCACACUCUUUAUUUUCUCACCAGGAGAAGUAGUUUGUGAGACGGGUGGCUUUCAUCCUGUAUAAACUUUACCGCAGGCCGUACUGCAAUCACGGAAGAUUAUUCAACAUCACAGUGUUCCAUAUGGGGGCUGAUGGGAGAUGAAGUCAAAUUAUGCUGUUUGUUAUGCGAUGCUGCGCAAUUAGGCACAUGCCGAGCAGACACCAGAAGGUUCUAGAGUCACCCUUCAGUUGGCCCAGGGACUGGUAUCUGGAGAGACAGUGAAGGGACCUCCUGUCCUACUUCAGUCAGGAAGCGAGCUUGCGUUUGAUCACAAUGAAGCCAGCCCCAUGCGCCUCUGGGACAUCAGCUGCCAGGAGCUUUGUGACUCAUCAGAGCAAUGGCUGCCUGCUGUGCAGCCCUGACAGGCAGCUCCAGAGCUCGAGCCCCGACAGCUCCACAGACUGCCUCCAGGGCUGUGCGCAUUUGAGAGGCCCUAUCUGCGACAGGUGAUGUGGAGCAGUCGGCUGCAGCACCAUCUCUCGCAUUUACUCACACACACACACACACACACACGCACACACAUUUAAGUGACCCACAAUACGGCCCGUGCUCCAACAAGGUGGCUGUGAUGACUAUGUGCUAAGGAAUAGAAUGGUUGUGGUGGCUUCAUGCUGACCAAUAAAAUAGCUUUGCUGACUA